rnacentral:rRNA from 1 species
GGAAGGGAAUUUCUGGGUAGCGGGAAAGGGUAGUAUCAGGAGGACACCUGUGGGGUAGACAGUUUAUUGGACCAUUUUGAAGGUGAGCCAGAAAGGCGGGGAAGCAAACAGGAUUGAUACCCUGGUAGUCCACGCCCUAAACGAGCAUACUUGGUGUAGCCAUUCAUUGGUUCGUGCCGGAGCUAAGGGGUAAGUAUGCCGCCUGGGGAGUACGGUCGCAAGGCUGAAACUCAAAGGAAAUGACGGGGGGCCGCACAAGCGGUGGAGCAUGUGUUCAAUUCGACGCAACGCGAAGAACCUUACCUGGGCUCGAACGGCUUAAGACAAACUUUGGAAACAGAGUCUUCCCGCAAGGGACUUGAGUCGAGGUGCUGCAUGGCUGUCGUCAGCUCGUGUCGUGAGAUGUUGGGUUAAGUCCCGCAACGAGCGCAACCCUUGUCCUGUGUUGCCACUCCGUAAGGAAGCACUCGCAGGAGACCGCCAGCGAUAAGCUGGAGGAAGGUGGGGAUGAUGUCAAGUCAUCAUGGCCUUUAUGUCCAGGGCUACACACGUGCUACAAUGGGCGGUACAAAGCGCUGCAAACCCGCGAGGGGGAGCUAAUCGCAAAAAACCGUUCUCAGUUCGGAUUGCAGGCUGCAACUCGCCUGCAUGAAGCUGGAAUCGCUAGUAAUGGCGUAUCAGAAUGAUGCCGUGAAUACGUUCCCGGGCCUUGUACACGCCGCCCGUCACAUCACGAAAGUGGAUUGUACUAGAAGUCCUAAUCUAACAGGCCCAAGGUAUGAUUCAUGAUUGGGGUGAAGUCGUAACAAGGUAA